UAGCUCCUCGUUAUAACCAACUGUGUAAACUGAAGGUAGCUUCUGCGUCUUCAGUUGGUGUUUUACUACGCUGUUUGACGAAGCUUCCUUAGCUGCCUAAAAUGUGUUGCAGUGUGUGAUCUAUGAUCGAUUCACUAAGUGUAGGUACUUCUUCCAUAACCAAUAAUAAUCAGUUUUACAUUUCAAGAAAAUGAAACGCGUGCAGCCUGACCUCCUUUAUGAAAGAAACACCACAAUGAGACUCGGAAAGUGAAAAAUGAAUCCUUGUAGUUACAGUUCCUUAAAAAUACAUAGAUUCUAAUAAAUUAUGAUUUUCAACUUGUUGUGAUGCAGGUUGCGUCAUCUUAUGUCUGGUAGAUGUAUUAUGUACUGUACCCGCAAGGGAGCCGUCUGGUAAGUAGGGUUAGUUUCGACGUAACUGGUGUGGUGGCGCUGGCUGUGUUUAAUUAAAAUUGGAAAAUGACAAUUGACAACUAUCUUAACCAUAGCAUCUUGUAGUGUUGUUGCAGGUUUUGUUGGUAAGAUUUUUGAUUAAUAGUAAAGUAGGUACAUAAAUCAAUUGUGAGAUUAGCACGACGCAAAUAAAUUUGGGUUUUAAAUGAUGAAAUUAUUAAGAGUUAUAAUCAUAUUCGUUGAGGGUUAAUUAAAUUAGUGUAUAUAGGUUAGGUUAAUUAAUCUAUUUUGAAUAACUAACUGUAUAUACCUUAAAUGAUUUGACAUCAUUUGAUAUGGUGAUAAUUUUUUUCAGAAAGUGUCACACGAGAUUUGAUCGUAUGAAAAAAAAGUUUAUCACAUUGUAGUCACACAUUUUUUUCUUGUGUAGUUUUUGUUUGAAGAUACAAAUUUAAACUACUUUUUAACCAAAUUCAAAAGGAAUAGAAGAAAACCUACAAAUGAUUUGUUUUUACAUAUAAUUUUACUUGUAAAAUAGGUAGGUAAGUACGUUUUUGAAUUUGUAGUCAGUGAUGCCACCCGUUAGAAAAUUUGUUGCUCAUUUGAGCUUUGUGUUUUAGUUCGAAAGCUGGUUGCACACGAUGAUAAAUUUGUAAAAAAUAUUUCAGGGGUUUGUAUUUAAUUACCUACUGUAGGGCGUAUUGUAAAAACGAUUGUAAUAAUGUGACGAAAAUACCAGUUUUAAUAACAACCACAAAUUUGUGUUUUACUUCAAAUACCAAAUUUCGAUAUAAAUUAAGUCUUUAUUUUAUUUUAGCGUUAUAUGUUGCAGGUAGACAAUAAUUAGAUAUUAAUUACAGUCCUGGAUGUAAGGUAAGGUGAUAAUUUCCCCUAUUUAAUUAAUUUAAGUAUUUCUUGAACUUUUAUUCUUUGUGUAUUGACUACAUAUUGCAUUUCUUUUUUCCGAAUUCGUGCUUUAUAAUUAAAUACGCAGUGUGUUUAGCCCAUGUGUUUUUUACAGGCAAUUUGAAGCUUUUGAAAGCGACGAAAACUUUUCAGGUACAACUAAUAUCUCUGAUGAAAAGUCUCAUUGGAUUCAGCGUAUCGAAUGUUCGCUCGAUCGUAUCGAGGCAAUUUCUGUCUAUUUCUGGUUCACUAAAUGCCUUGAUAUUAUUGGAUAAAAGCAUUUGGAACCUGUUAAAAUAAAUAUUUCCAGCGUUUCAAAGCAAUUCCUACUACGUCUGUCUUUUUGACUACACCAUACCCAUUUUUGUGAAAUAAAUAAAAUUAAAUACGAAACGACCGUAAAUUAUAUUUAUUUCUGUUGUUUUUGGCUGUAUUGUUUUCCUACUUAUGUAUAUGUAUUUUAAAUUACAGUUAAAAUAAUGACUGUUGGGUUGUAGUGGUGAUGCAUGGUAUUUAGAUGUACAGUUCUAUAUUUUUAGGAGACGACUACUAAUUUAUUUUUUCUUUUGUAGAAACGACGCUAGACAUUAACAGUAUUUUCCCUGAUAACGUUAGUAUGCGUCCGUGUAAGGCGCGCAAACAAAGGACCUCUUUUAGUUUUCAAACGUUAGAAAAACUUAACGCUUAUUUUGAAAAAGACCAAUUUCCUUCAGGUUAUGAAUUUAGUAGAAUAGCGGACGAAUUGCAUCUAGAAAAAAGAGUGGUUAGGAUAUGGUUCUGCAAUAAGAGGCAAGCGUUGAGAAAAUCUAAACAAUAGACUAUAUUGCGACUCACUAAUA